rnacentral:ncRNA from 1 species
CGGGCGAAACAGGGGUGCUCCGUGUCGGACGCGGGGGUUAACUGACAAGGUUAACCAUGCGUCACAAAGGAACGCGGGGCUGAGAGAGACCCUUUGCACCCGACCCGGGUAAUACCGGCGUGGGAAGUUUCCGACUCCUCCAG